CUAAGCCCCAACUCAAUGCCUCUAUGAUUGGGCAAGGAGCCCAAUUGUCAAUGAGUAAGUCGAGGCUCAAACCAAUGCUAGAACCCCUUUCAAUGCCCUAUUUUUGGGCUAGAAUCUAUUUUCUUGAUUCUGCUUGUUUCUGCCAUCAUUCGUUGCUCUCAUUGUCACCUGACCACUGUCUUCCAUCAACAAGCCUCCAAUGCCACCAUCAGCCAUGUCGACUGUCCAUCUUACUCCUCUUCUUUCCUUAGAGAGCUACAAAUAAGACCUCUCUAUAUAACACCUUCUUUCUCACUCUCCUCUCUCUUCCUUCUCUCUUUCUUUUUAUACUCUCGUUCUCUCUCGCUCCCUCUUCGAUUGCAUGGACCCUAACAAAGGGGCUCUCCCCUAUGAUCUUGGUUGACUUUGUAAAGUGGCUUUGAACCAUUCUCAUGUUUGGGCAAUGUGUCGGCCCCCACCCCAGUCUUUAUCAAGUACCAUUAGACUCCAUCAUCAUCGAUUCUUAUUGUGUUAUCAUUACCCU
rnacentral:lncRNA from 1 species